rnacentral:rRNA from 1 species
GGUGAACGCUGGCGGCGUGCCUAAGACAUGCAAGUCGAGCGGGCCGCGGGGUUUUACUCCGUGGUCAGCGGCGGACGGGUGAGUAACGCGUGGGUGACCUACCCGGAAGAGGGGGACAACCCGGGGAAACUCGGGCUAAUCCCCCAUGUGGACCCGCCCCUUGGGGUGUGUCCAAAGGGCUUUGCCCGCUUCCGGAUGGGCCCGCGUCCCAUCAGCUAGUUGGUGGGGUAAUGGCCCACCAAGGCGACGACGGGUAGCCGGCCUGAGAGGGUGGCCGGCCACAGGGGCACUGAGACACGGGCCUCACUCCUACGGGAGGCAGCAGUUAGGAAUCGUCCGCAAUGGGCGAAAGCCUGACGGAGCGACGCCGCUUGGAGGAAGAAGCCCUGCGGGGUGUAAACUCCUGAACCCGGGACGAAACCCCCGACGAGGGGUCUGACGGUACCGGGGUAAUAGCGCCGGCCAACUCCGUG